rnacentral:rRNA from 1 species
UACGAAGGACCCGAGCGUUAUCCGGAUUUAUUGGGUUUAAAGGGUGCGUAGGCGUCCUGGAAAGUUACGGUUGAAAUCUCCUUGCUCAACAAGGAACUGGCCGUAAACUAUCAGGAUUGAGUACAUUUGAAGCGGGCGGAAUGUGUCAUGGUAGCGGUGAAAUGCUUAGAUAAUGACACAGAACACCAAUUGCGAAGGCAGCUCGCUAAACUGUAACUGACGCGAGCACGAAGCGU